GCCUAGGUAGCUCAACUGGUUAGAGCAUACGGUUCAUACCCGUAAGGUUAUCAGUUCGACCCUGAUCUUAGGCA
rnacentral:tRNA from 1 species